rnacentral:rRNA from 1 species
UAAGCGACUAAGCGUACACGGUGGAUGCCCUGGCAGUCAGAGGCGAUGAAGGACGUGCUAAUCUGCGAUAAGCGUCGGUAAGGUGAUAUGAACCGUUAUAACCGGCGAUUUCCGAAUGGGGAAACCCAGUGUGAUUCGUCACACUAUCAUUAACUGAAUCCAUAGGUUAAUGAGGCGAACCGGGGAACUGAAACAUCUAAGUACCCGAGGAAAGAAAUCAACCGAGAUUCCCCCAGUAGCGGCGAGCGAACGGGGAGCAGCCCAGAGCCUGAAUCAGUAUGUGUGUUAGUGGAAGCGUCUGGAAAGGCGCGCGAUACAGGGUGACAGCCCCGUACACAAAAAUGCACAUGCUGUGAGCUCGAUGAGUAGGGCGGGACACGUGGUAUCCUGUCUGAAUAUGGGGGGACCAUCCUCCAAGGCUAAAUACUCCUGACUGACCGAUAGUGAACCAGUACCGUGAGGGAAAGGCGAAAAGAACCCCGGCGAGGGGAGUGAAAAAGAACCUGAAACCGUGUACGUACAAGCAGUGGGAGCACGCUUAGGCGUGUGACUGCGUACCUUUUGUAUAAUGGGUCAGCGACUUAUAUUCUGUAGCAAGGCUAACCGAAUAGGGGAGCCGAAGGGAAACCGAGUCUUAACUGGGCGUUAAGUUGCAGGGUAUAGACCCGAAACCCGGUGAUCUAGCCAUGGGCAGGUUGAAGGUUGGGUAACACUAACUGGAGGACCGAACCGACUAAUGUUGAAAAAUUAGCGGAUGACUUGUGGCUGGGGGUGAAAGGCCAAUCAAACCGGGAGAUAGCUGGUUCUCCCCGAAAGCUAUUUAGGUAGCGCCUCGUGAAUUCAUCUCCGGGGGUAGAGCACUGUUUCGGCAAGGGGGUCAUCCCGACUUACCAACCCGAUGCAAACUGCGAAUACCGGAGAAUGUUAUCACGGGAGACACACGGCGGGUGCUAACGUCCGUCGUGAAGAGGGAAACAACCCAGACCGCCAGCUAAGGUCCCAAAGUCAUGGUUAAGUGGGAAACGAUGUGGGAAGGCCCAGACAGCCAGGAUGUUGGCUUAGAAGCAGCCAUCAUUUAAAGAAAGCGUAAUAGCUCACUGGUCGAGUCGGCCUGCGCGGAAGAUGUAACGGGGCUAAACCAUGCACCGAAGCUGCGGCAGCGACGCUUAUGCGUUGUUGGGUAGGGGAGCGUUCUGUAAGCCUGUGAAGGUGUGCUGUGAGGCAUGCUGGAGGUAUCAGAAGUGCGAAUGCUGACAUAAGUAACGAUAAAGCGGGUGAAAAGCCCGCUCGCCGGAAGACCAAGGGUUCCUGUCCAACGUUAAUCGGGGCAGGGUGAGUCGACCCCUAAGGCGAGGCCGAAAGGCGUAGUCGAUGGGAAACAGGUUAAUAUUCCUGUACUUGGUGUUACUGCGAAGGGGGGACGGAGAAGGCUAUGUUGGCCGGGCGACGGUUGUCCCGGUUUAAGCGUGUAGGCUGGUUUUCCAGGCAAAUCCGGAAAAUCAAGGCUGAGGCGUGAUGACGAGGCACUACGGUGCUGAAGCAACAAAUGCCCUGCUUCCAGGAAAAGCCUCUAAGCAUCAGGUAACAUCAAAUCGUACCCCAAACCGACACAGGUGGUCAGGUAGAGAAUACCAAGGCGCUUGAGAGAACUCGGGUGAAGGAACUAGGCAAAAUGGUGCCGUAACUUCGGGAGAAGGCACGCUGAUAUGUAGGUGAAGUCCCUCGCGGAUGGAGCUGAAAUCAGUCGAAGAUACCAGCUGGCUGCAACUGUUUAAUUAAAAACACAGCACUGUGCAAACACGAAAGUGGACGUAUACGGUGUGACGCCUGCCCGGUGCCGGAAGGUUAAUUGAUGGGGUCAGCGCAAGCGAAGCUCUUGAUCGAAGCCCCGGUAAACGGCGGCCGUAACUAUAACGGUCCUAAGGUAGCGAAAUUCCUUGUCGGGUAAGUUCCGACCUGCACGAAUGGCGUAAUGAUGGCCAGGCUGUCUCCACCCGAGACUCAGUGAAAUUGAACUCGCUGUGAAGAUGCAGUGUACCCGCGGCAAGACGGAAAGACCCCGUGAACCUUUACAUAGCUUGACACUGAACAUUGAGCCUUGAUGUGUAGGAUAGGUGGGAGGCUUGGAAGUGUGGACGCCAGUCUGCAUGGAGCCGACCUUGAAAUACCACCCUUUAAUGUUUGAUGUUCUAACGUUGACCCGUAAUCCGGGUUGCGGACAGUGUCUGGUGGGUAGUUUGACUGGGGCGGUCUCCUCCUAAAGAGUAACGGAGGAGCACGAAGGUUGGCUAAUCCUGGUCGGACAUCAGGAGGUUAGUGCGAUGGCAUAAGCCAGCUUGACUGCGAGCGUGACGGCGCGAGCAGGUGCGAAAGCAGGUCAUAGUGAUCCGGUGUUCUGAAUGGAAGGGCCAUCGCUCAACGGAUAAAAGGUACUCCGGGGAUAACAGGCUGAUACCGCCCAAGAGUUCAUAUCGACGGCGGUGUUUGGCACCUCGAUGUCGGCUCAUCACAUCCUGGGGCUGAAGUAGGUCCCAAGGGUAUGGCUGUUCGCCAUUUAAAGUGGUACGCGAGCUGGGUUUAGAACGUCGUGAGACAGUUCGGUCCCUAUCUGCCGUGGGCGCUGGAGAACUGAGGGGGGCUGCUCCUAGUACGAGAGGACCGGAGUGGACGCAUCACUGGUGUUCGGGUUGUCAUGCCAAUGGCACUGCCCGGUAGCUAAAUGCGGAAGCGAUAAGUGCUGAAAGCAUCUAAGCACGAAACUUGCCCCGAGAUGAGUUCUCCCUGACUCCUUGAGAGUCCUGAAGGAACGUUGAAGACGACGACGUUGAUAGGCCGGGUGUGUAAGCGCAGCGAUGCGUUGAGCUAACCGGUACUAAUGAACCGUGAGGCUUAACCU